CCUGGCAACAUCAGCGCGAUAGAACCACCUGAUAAUACCCAUUCCGAACUCAGAAGUGAAAUGUCGUAGUACCGAUGGUAGUGUGAGGAUUCCUCAUGUGAGAGUAGGGGGUUGCCAGGU
rnacentral:rRNA from 1 species